UCGAUUGUGUCUGGAAGUAGUAGCAAGCUAAUGUAACAGUUGUUAAAGUACUAUGUGAAUUUCACCAGGUUCAUAUAUCAACAUGUUGUGUUGAUUUGUUAUUCAUGCCUGCAUCCUGGAAGAAGGGGAGUGUGUCCUUACGUUUUGCCCGGCGUGCUCGUGCUCAAAUCAUGUUGAUGCACUGAGAGAGAAAGAGGCGACGAUUCUCAGAACAGAUGUGCUCUACAAAUGUUUUAUUUCCUUUUGGAUGCAGGUAUGUGGUUUUAUCAAUGUAAAAUAUGUUAUGUAUAAUAAGGAGAGAGUGUAUUAAUUUUUGUAUUCCAAAAUCAUUUCGAUGCACUGAGAGAGAAAGAGGCGACGAUUCUCAGAACAGAUGUGCUCUACAAAUGUUUUAUUGCCUUUUGGAUGCAGAUGCAGAGAGCCAGUUCUGCUUGAUUAAAACUACCUGAUCUCCA